GACGAACGCUGGCGGCGUGCUUAACACAUGCCAGUCGAACGAAGAGCGAUGGAAGCUUGCUUCUAUCAAUCUUAGUGGCGAACGGGUGAGUAACGCGUAAUCAACCUGCCCUUCAGAGGGGGACAACAGUUGGAAACGACUGCUAAUACCGCAUACGAUCCAAUCUCGGCAUCGAGGAUGGAUGAAAGGUGGCCUCUAUUUAUAAGCUAUCACUGAAGGAGGGGAUUGCGUCUGAUUAGCUAGUUGGAGGGGUAACGGCCCACCAAGGCGAUGAUCAGUAGCCGGUCUGAGAGGAUGAACGGCCACAUUGGGACUGAGACACGGCCCAGACUCCUACGGGAGGCAGCAGUGGGGAAUCUUCCGCAAUGGACGAAAGUCUGACGGAGCAACGCCGCGUGAGUGAUGACGGCCUUCGGGUUGUAAAGCUCUGUUAAUCGGGACGAAAGGUCCUCUUGCGAAUAGUUAGAGGAAUUGACGGUACCGGAAUAGAAAGCCACGGCUAACUACGUG
rnacentral:rRNA from 1 species